rnacentral:rRNA from 1 species
AGCGAACGCUGGCGGCGUGCCUAACACAUGCAAGUCGAACGUGAAAGGGAGCAAUCCCAAGUAAAGUGGCGUACGGGUGAGUAACGCGUAGGUAAUCUACCUGAGAGUCUGGAAUAACCUGCCGAAAGGCGGGCUAAUACUGGAUAGAGCGAAGGAUACUUUAAAGGUGUCUUCGGGAAAGGGAGCUCGCAAGGGCCCUCGCUUUGAGCUGAGCCUGCGUCCCAUUAGCCAGUUGGUGAGGUAACGGCUCACCAAGGCAGUGAUGGGUAGCUGGUCUGAGAGGAUGAUCAGCCACACUGGAACUGAAACACGGUCCAGACUCCUACGGGAGGCAGCAGUGGGGAAUCUUGCGCAAUGGACGAGAGUCUGACGCAGCCACGCCGCGUGAGUGAAGAAGGCCUUCGGGUUGUAAAGCUCUGUCACCUGGGAAGAACAUCAUUAGGGUUAAUAGCCUCAGUGACUGACGGUACCAGGGGAGGAAGCACCGGCUAACUACGUGCCAGCAGCCGCCGUAA